rnacentral:rRNA from 1 species
ACUCAAAUGAAUUGACGGGGACUUGCACAAGCGGUGGAUUAUGCGGUUCAAUUCGAUGACAAACGAAAAACCUUACCAAGGCUAGAAAUCUAUCUGAAUCUAGGCAGAAACGUCUAGAGUCUCACAAGGACAGAUAGACAGGUGAUGCAUGGCCGUCGUCAGUUCGUGAUUUGAAUUGUUCCCUUAAGUGGGGUAACGAACGCAACCCUCAUUGCCAGUUACAAGUGUCUGGCGAGACCACUCAGCACUCUGAGCUUAAUUGAAAAAUUGAGAGAAGAGUGCUGAGAGGAAGCGAGGAUGACGCCAGGUCAGCAUGUCCCUCUGACGCCUUGGGCCACACGCAUAAUACAAUGGCCGAUACAACGGGUAGCGACGACGUAAGUCUGAGCCAAUCCUAAGAAAAUCGGCCCCAGUUCGGAUUGGGGGCUGCAACUCGACCCCAUGAAGUUGGAAUCGCUAGUAAUCGCAGGUCAGCUAUACUGCGGUGAAUACGUUCUCAAGUCUUGUACACACCGCCCGU